rnacentral:rRNA from 1 species
UACAGAGGGUGCAAGCGUUAAUCGGAUUUACUGGGCGUAAAGCGCGCGUAGGCGGCUAAUUAAGUCAAAUGUGAAAUCCCCGAGCUUAACUUGGGAAUUGCAUUCGAUACUGGUUAGCUAGAGUGUGGGAGAGGAUGGUAGAAUUCCAGGUGUAGCGGUGAAAUGCGUAGAGAUCUGGAGGAAUACCGAUGGCGAAGGCAGCCAUCUGGCCUAACACUGACGCUGAGGUGCGAAAGCAUGGGGAGCAAACAGGA